rnacentral:rRNA from 1 species
GACGAACGCUGGCGGCGUGCUUAACACAUGCAAGUCGAGCGGCAAGGCCCUUUCGGGGGUACACGAGCGGCGAACGGGUGAGUAACACGUGGGUGACCUGCCUUUAGCUCUGGGAUAAGCCUGGGAAACCGGGUCUAAUACCGGAUAUGACUCCGCGGCGCAUGUUGUGGGGUGGAAAGCCUUGUGCGGCUGGAGAUGGGCCCGCGGCCUAUCAGCUUGUUGGUGGGGUGAUGGCCUACCAAGGCGACGACGGGUAGCCGGCCUGAGAGGGCGACCGGCCACACUGGGACUGAGACACGGCCCAGACUCCUACGGGAGGCAGCAGUGGGGAAUCUUGCGCAAUGGCGAAAGCCUGACGCAGCGACGCCGCGUGAGGGAUGACGGCCU